AUUGAACGCUGGCGGCAGGCCUAACACAUGCAAGUCGGGCGGAUGAAGGGAGCUUGCUCCUGGAUUCAGCGGCGGACGGGUGAGUAAUGCCUAGGAAUCUGCCUGGUGUUGGGGGAUAAGGUCCGAAAACGGGCGCUAUUCCCGCUACCGCCCGUUGGGGGAAAUUGGGGGGUCUCGGGACCUACGGCUAUCAGAGGAGCCUAGGUCGGUUCAGCUAGUUGGUGGGGUAAGGGCCUACCAAGGCGACGACCCGAAACUGGUCUGAGAGGAGGACCAGUAACACUGGAACUGAGACACGGCCCCGACUCCUACGGGAGGCAGCAGUGGGGAAUAUUGGACGAUGGGGGAAAGCCUGAUCCAGCAAUGCCGCGUGUGUGAAGAAGGUCUUCGGAUGGUAGAGCACUUAAGGUUGGGAGGAAGUGCAGUAAGUUUAUACCUUGCUGUUUUGACGUUACCAACAGAAUAAGCACCGGCUAACUUCGUG
rnacentral:rRNA from 1 species